GCAAAAUGAAACAAAGAACAAAAUCCAAGGAUAUCAGAGGGAGACAAACAAAAACAUUCACAUAUUUCUCAAUGAACAUCAAGGAAUAAAAGGAAUGGGUAACAUCUAACAUAAGGAGAUCCAAAAAGUCAAGACAUUCAUGAAAAUCAUCCAAGCAACCCAAUCAUGGCAAAAUAGUUAAUCAGCUCAAGAAUGAAAAGUGAUAAAGCCUCACAAGAUAUACACUCUAUCUCUCAAGUGUUUAGGCUACUAUUUACCCUCAAAGCACCCAUGAAAGCAAACACCACAUAAACUUGGCAAGAUUCUAAAAUUGACAAUCAACCCAUAAACACAAGCACAUGAGGAUCAAAAGGUCUUUUAAGGUUGUAAUGGGGCCAAGGACAAGGUAUGGAGAAAUAUGGAAUAAGUGGCUAAAUCCCAAAGGAAUAGAGGAGCAAAG
rnacentral:lncRNA from 1 species